rnacentral:rRNA from 1 species
GACGAACGCUGGCGGCGUGCCUAAUACAUGCAAGUCGAGCGAAUUUACGAGAGCUUGCUCUCGUAAAUUAGCGGCGGACGGGUGAGUAACACGUGGGCAACCUGCCUAUAAGACUGGGAUAACUUCGGGAAACCGGAGCUAAUACCGGAUAAUUCACAACUACUCAUGUAGAUGUGCUGAAAGACGGUUUACGCUGUCACUUAUAGAUGGGGCCCGCGGCGCAUAGCUAGUUGGUGAGGUAACGGCUCACCAAGGCAACGAUGCGUAGCCGACCUGAGAGGGUGAUCGGCCACACUGGGACUGAGACACGGCCCAGACUCCUACGGGAGGCAGCAGUAGGGAAUCUUCCGCAAUGGACGAAAGCCUGACGCAGCGACGCCGCGUGAGGGAUGACGGCCU